AUUGAACGCUGGCGGCAUGCCUAACACAUGCAAGUCGAACGAGUGGCGGACGGGUGAGUAAUGUCUUGGAAACUGCCUGAUGUAGGGGGAUAACUACUGGAAACGGUAGCUAAUACCGCAUACCACCCGAUCUGCCCAGAUGGGAUUAGCUUGUUGGUGGGGUAACGGCUCACCAAGGCGACGAUCCCUAGCUGGUCUGAGAGGAUUACCAGCCACACUGGAACUGAGACACGGUCCAGACUCCUACGGGAGGCAGCAGUGGGGAAUAUUGCACAAUGGGCGAAAGCCUGAUGCAGCAAUGCCGCGUGUAUGAAGAAGGUCUUCGGGUUGUAAAGCACUUUCAGCGGGGAGGCGUUACCCGCAGAAGAAGCACCGGCUAACUCCGUGCCAGCAGCCGCGGUAAUUC
rnacentral:rRNA from 1 species